rnacentral:rRNA from 1 species
ACGGUAGCUUGCUACCGGACCUAACGGCGGACGGAUGAGUAAUGCUUAGGAAUCUGCCUAUUAGUGGGGGACAACUUCUCGAAGGGGAUGCUAAUACCGCAUACGUCCUACGGGAGAAAGCAGGGGAUCUUCGGACCUUGCGCUAGUAGAUGAACCUAACUCGGAUUAACUAGUUGGUGGGGUAAAGGCCUACCCAGGCGACCAUCUGUACCGGGUCUGACAGGAUGAUCCGCCACACUGGGACUGAGACACGGCCCAGACUCCUACGGGAGGCAGCAGUGGGGAAUAUUGGACAAUGGGGGGAACCCUGAUCCAGCCAUGCCGCGUGUGUGAAGAAGGCCUUAUGGUUGUAAAGCACUUUAAUCGAGGAGGAGGCUACUCUAGUUAAUACCUAGGGAUAGUGGACGUUACUCGCAGAAUAAGCACCGGCUAACUCUGUGCCAGCAGCCGCGGUAAUACAGAGGGUGCGAGCGUUAAUCGGAUUUACUGGGCGUAAAGCGUGCGUAGGCGGCUUAUUAAGUCGGAUGUGAAAUCCCCGAGCUUAACUUGGGAAUUGCAUUCUAUACUGGUGAGCUAGAGUAUGGUAGAGGAUGGUAGAAUUCCAGGUGUAUCGGUGAAAUGCGUAUAGAUCUGGAGGAAUACCGAUGGCGAAGGCGGCCAUCUGGCCUAAUACUGACGCUGAGGUACGAAAGCAUGGGGGAGCACACAGGAUUAUAUACCCUGGGAGUCCAUGCCGUAAACGAUGUCUACUAUCCGUUGGGGGCCUUUGAGGCUUUAGUGGCGCAGCUAACGCGAUAAGUAGACCCGCCUGGGG